rnacentral:tRNA from 1 species
GCCUCGGUAGUGUAAUGAAUGAGCACGACAGACCGAAUAUCUGUAAGUGUAGGUUCAAGUUCCGCCUGAGGUC